rnacentral:rRNA from 1 species
ACUCCUACGGGAGGCAGCAGUGGGGAAUUUUGGACAAUGGGCGAAAGCCUGAUCCAGCAAUGCCGCGUGUGUGAAGAAGGCCUUCGGGUUGUAAAGCACUUUUGUCCGGAAAGAAAUCCUUGGCUCUAAUACAGUCGGGGGAUGACGGUACCGGAAGAAUAAGCACCGGCUAACUACGUGCCAGCAGCCGCGGUAAUACGUAGGGUGCGAGCGUUAAUCGGAAUUACUGGGCGUAAAGCGUGCGCAGGCGGUUUGCUAAGACCGAUGUGAAAUCCCCGGGCUCAACCUGGGAACUGCAUUGGUGACUGGCAGGCUAGAGUAUGGCAGAGGGGGGUAGAAUUCCACGUGUAGCAGUGAAAUGCGUAGAGAUGUGGAGGAAUACCGAUGGCGAAGGCAGCCCCCUGGGCCAAUACUGACGCUCAUGCACGAAAGCGUGGGGAGCAAACAGGAUUAGAUACCCCAGUAGUCCCA